rnacentral:rRNA from 1 species
CACGUAGGGGCCAAGCGUUGUCCGGAUUUAUUGGGCGUAAAGAGCUCGUAGGCGGUUUGUCGCGUCUGCUGUGAAAUCCCGAGGCUCAACCUCGGGCCUGCAGUGGGUACGGGCAGACUGGAGUGCGGUAGGGGAGAAUGGAAUUCCUGGUGUAGCGGUGGAAUGCGCAGAUAUCAGGAGGAACACCGAUGGCGAAGGCAGUUCUCUGGGCCGUAACUGACGCUGAGGAGCGAAAGCGUGGGGAGCGAACAGG